rnacentral:tRNA from 1 species
GGAUUUUGGCUCAGCGGUAGAGCUCUCGCCUAGCAACUGUGAAGCGCUGGGUUCAAUCCUCAGCACCA